UCCAUCGCGAGGUGGAAUCUAGAGGAAGGUGGAGGCAAAUCUCUGGUCUGACGAACAGAAACCACAUAUAAGGCAGGGCAUAUCGGGUAAGGUUGCCAAACAUACUGAAGCCCUAUAACUAUCCGAAGAUAUGCUAUGUAAAUGUGGCAGAUAGAUUGAGUGAAAGACUAUGCA
rfam:Desulfosporosinus sp. BRH_c37 BRHa_1001857, whole genome shotgun sequence.